UACGUAGGGUCCAAGCGUUAUCCGGAAUCACUGGGCGUAAAGCGUGCGUAGGUGGCGCGUUAAGUGAGAUGUUAAAUCGUGUGGCUCAACCAUAUCGAUGCAUCUCAUACUGGCGUGCUAGAGGACAGCAGAGGCAAGUGGAAUUUGUAGUGUAGCAGUGAAAUGCGUAGAUAUUACGAGGAACACCAAUGGCGAAGGCAGCUUGCUGGGCUACUCCUGACACUGAGGCACGAAAGCCAAGGGAGCAAACAGG
rnacentral:rRNA from 1 species